GAUAGUCUUAGGAAUGGGCACAAGUCAUUUGUAAUUUGGUUUUAGUGUUUUGUUUUCAUUUUUAUGUUUUUUUGGGGUAUAUAUAUAUAUAUAUAACCUUAUAAGUACAGUCGACUUAAAACUAGUAUGGACAAGGGGAAUCUGACUAUUUAAUUAAAACAAAGCAUUGUGGCAGUCCUUGCGGAUGCUGACGCGAUGUGAUUUAUGUCUAGUGCUCUGAAUGUCAAAGUGAAGAAAUUCAAUAGCCCACGGGGGGCAGCCCAAUUGGAAAGUUUCGUGAUAUGAAAGGUUAUGUUCGAUGAGGUUCCGAGUUCAAAUCCCCCCUAUUUACAUGUGCCUGCAGAAGGGGCAUACGUAUGGCACCUGGAGAUUAUAGUGGUAGUGGUCGGAAUUGACCCUGUGUCAUGUGAGUACGAGACCAACCCAAUUGUCGAUUCCACCAGUUACAAAAAAAAAAGUGAAGAAAUUCCAACCAAGCGUAGGUAAAUGACAGGAGUAUCUAUGACUCUCUUAAGGUAUCCAACUACCUCCUCAUCUAAUUAGUGACGCACAUGAAUGGAUUAACGAGAUUAUGGAUUAGUGAGAUUCCUAAUGUCUCUAUCUAUAUCUAGAGAAACCACAACCAAGGGAACGAGCUUGGCAGAAUCAGCGGGGAAAGAAGACCUUGUUGAGCUUGACUCUAGUCUGACUUUGUGAA
rnacentral:ncRNA from 1 species